AUGUUCAUCAUGGUCAUCACGAGCUUCACAUGCAUCAACAAAGAACUCAUUACACCAGAACCAAUGCAACCUGAUCACAGAACCAGUCAGCAUUGUCAAUUUACACAUGUGGUAAAUCUGUACCCCUUGUCUCUCCACAGCUGUACAACAGCAAAAAGUUCCCCACAGUUAUUUCGUGCUCUGGCAACACCCAGUGCAAGUGUUGCUCGUUACCUUUCCAACUUUCUGCCCUUACCUGAGAUUGCUGGAGCCCUUAUGGAGGAGUCAGAAAGGGCCAGGGCUUGCCCUGCAGGGCUGCUGGAGGGGCUGAGGCAAAGCAACUUGUGGGUUUGGAGCCUGCUUUGCCCUCUCCUGCUCUGCCAGGCAUGCUCCAGAGGACUGCAGCUUCUUCCAGGCUCAUCUUCAUCCUCAGAUGUCACCAACCCCCUUGUAUUCUAGGCGGAGUAUUUGAGGUACCACAGUUCUUGAAGAAUCUGAAGCAAACCCUGACCCCUGAAUGCCAGGCAUGAAUCAUGCAGGCAGGGACAUGCUGCAGGAACCCUGUUUGGCUGCGUCGUCUCUGACUUCCACCCAGAGAUCCCAUCUGAGGCAGGAAUCAUGGCUGGUAAUAUUCAGCUGCUGUCUAGUUACAUUAGCCACUUGCAGAAUUUGUUUCCUGGUUCCAGCUCGCUGAUUUUCUUCAUAGUGGAUGAAGAAUGCUGUCACAUAUUUAUGCCUCGUCUUUGAGCAGUUGAGGUCUGUGCAGUGACUGUAAAAAAUACUGAAUUUAAACCUUGUUAAUCACAACGUUUGUUGUCCAUAUGGUUCUGCUUUGUGCAGUCAGUUUUAUUUUAUUAAAUGCUAUUUCCUAGAUUCUCUUAGUUCUAGAAUAAUUUUAAUAUCACAUUUUAGAACAAAACAUGCAAACUUACUCUGAUUUUUAGCUUCUGUGAUUUUUUUCUCCUCCUUUGGCUUUAAAGGUUUUCUGUCUGUGAAACAGGAAAAAAUACUUCUAACAUUUUUGUAAAACUUCUUGAAGUACGUAUUCAGAGAACAUGUUUGUUUGAAAAUGUUUUUCUUAUGAUAUACUGCAUAAUACAAUUUCUUUAUAGUACUUAGGCUUUUAUUUUGAAAAAGUUUUCUCCCUGCAAUAGAAAAAAGCAAAACAUAUUUUUUUAGCACCUCAAAUGUUGCUUUUUUUUUUUUUUUUUGUCUGACCUGCACUGACAGGGCAUCCAAUAGCUGACACAGGGGCUAGUAUGCAUGUGCAUAUGUACACACAUGCUUUUUAGAUAUAUAAAAUGACUAAUUCUUGCUGAAUUUUCUUGUUUGUGUCCUUUUAGUUUUACUGUUUAAAUCUGGUGUAAGAUGGGGGGAGGUGAGGGGAAAAGUACUUCCGAAGGCGGCUGCAAAAUGAUCAUGAACGAUGCUGGCGUCGUGACAGUGAUGCCAAGCCAGA
rnacentral:lncRNA from 1 species